rnacentral:rRNA from 1 species
UACGAAGGGGGCUAGCGUUGCUCGGAAUUACUGGGCGUAAAGCGCACGUAGGCGGUCUUUUAAGUCGGGGGUGAAAUCCUGGAGCUCAACUCCAGAACUGCCUUCGAUACUGGAAGACUUGAGUCCGGGAGAGGUGAGUGGAACUGCGAGUGUAGAGGUGAAAUUCGUAGAUAUUCGCAAGAACACCAGUGGCGAAGGCGGCUCACUGGCCCGAUACUGACGCUGAGGUGCGAAAGCGUGGGGAGCAAACAGGG